CCUACGGGUGGCUGCAGUGGGGAAUAUUGGACAAUGGGGGCAACCCUGAUCCAGCCAUGCCGCGUGUGUGAAGAAGGCCCUCGGGUUGUAAAGCACUUUCAGUGAGGAAGAACGCCUGGUGGUUAAUACCCAUCAGGAAAGACAUCACUCACAGAAGAAGCACCGGCUAACUCCGUGCCAGCAGCCGCGGUAAUACGGAGGGUGCGAGCGUUAAUCGGAAUUACUGGGCGUAAAGCGCGCGUAGGUGGCUUGAUAAGCCGGUUGUGAAAGCCCCGGGCUCAACCUGGGAACGGCAUCCGGAACUGUCAAGCUAGAGUGCAGGAGAGGAAGGUAGAAUUCCCGGUGUAGCGGUGAAAUGCGUAGAGAUCGGGCGGAAUACCAGUGGCGAAGGCGGCCUUCUGGACUGACACUGACACUGAGGUGCGAAAGCGUGGGUAGCAAACAGGAUUAGAUACCCUUGUAGUC
rnacentral:rRNA from 1 species